GACGAACGCUGGCGGCGUGCUUAACACAUGCAAGUCGAACGGAAAGGCCUCUUUCGGGGGGUACUCGAGUGGCGAACGGGUGAGUAACACGUGAGUAACCUGCCCUUGACUUUGGGAUAACUUCAGGAAACUGGGGCUAAUACCGGAUAGGAGCUCCUGCUGCAUGGUGGGGGUUGGAAAGUUUCGGCGGUUGGGGAUGGACUCGCGGCUUAUCAGCUUGUUUGUGGGGUAGUGGCUUACCAAGGCUUUGACGGGUAGCCGGCCUGGGGGGGGGACCGGCCACAUUGGGACUGAGAUACGGCCCAGACUCCUACGGGAGGCAGCAGUGGGGAAUAUUGCACAAUGGGUGGAAGCCUGAUGCAGCAACGCCGUGUGCGGGAUGACGGCCUUCGGGUUGUAAACCGCUUUCGCUCAUGACGAAGCUUUGUGUGACGGUAGUGGGUAAAGAAGCACCGGCUAACUACGUG
rnacentral:rRNA from 1 species